CUCCAUGGAACAUUCAACGCUGUCGGUGAGUUUGGGAUUUAAAAAAACCACUGACCGUUGACUGUACCUUGGGG
rnacentral:pre_miRNA from 1 species